UAAGACGAAGGGGGCUAGCGUUGUUCGGAAUUACUGGGCGUAAAGGGCGCGUAGGCGGUCUUGUUAGUCAGGCGUGAAAGCCCUGGGCUCAACCUGGGAGGUGCGCUUGAUACUGCGAGGCUUGAGUGCAGGAGAGGAUGGUGGAAUUCCCAGUGUAGAGGUGAAAUUCGUAGAUAUUGGGAAGAACACCGGUGGCGAAGGCGGCCAUCUGGACUGCAACUGACGCUGAGGCGCGAAAGCGUGGGGAGCAAACAGGAUUAGAUACCCUGGUAGUCCACGCUGUAAACGAUGAGUGCUGGACGUUGGCGGGCUUGCCUGCCGGUGUCGCAGCUAACGCGAUAAGCACUCCGCCUGGGGAGUACGGCCGCAAGGUUA
rnacentral:rRNA from 1 species